rnacentral:rRNA from 1 species
GACGAACGCUGGCGGCGUGCUUAACACAUGCAAGUCGAACGAUGAAGCCGGAGCUUGCUCUGGUGAAUUAGUGGCGAACGGGUGAGUAACACGUGAGUAACCUGCCCUUGACCCUGGGAUAACUGCGGGAAACUGUAGCUAAUACCGGAUACGACCCUCGGAGGCAUCUCCUGGGGGUGGAAAGAAUUUCGGUCAAGGAUGGACUCGCGGCCUAUCAGCUAGUUGGUGAGGUAACGGCUCACCAAGGCGACGACGGGUAGCCGGCCUGAGAGGGUGACCGGCCACACUGGGACUGAGACACGGCCCAGACUCCUACGGGAGGCAGCAGUGGGGAAGAUUGCACAAGGGGCGCAAUCCUGAUGCAGCAACGCCUCGUGAGGGAUGACGGCCUUCGGGUUGUAAGCCUCUUUUAGUAGGGAAGAAGCGAAAGUGACGGUACCUGCAGAAAAAGCACCGGCUAACUACGUGCCAGCCGCCGCAGUAA